UGCGUCUAUUCUAGGAAGGCUCAGACGUGACGGGGAGGUUGGCUGCUUCUGAGAUGCAGUACUUAAGAUAUAUGAAGACUGAGACUGAUAUUUUAAGUUCUUCACUGAUCUAGGGGUCUGGUACGCAGUCACGGUCGUUCUCACCACUACACUGAGAACGGUUUGUACAAAGCAAAGGGGACAGUCUACUUGAACUUCGGAAACGAAAUACCACAGCCUGGAUGGCUUCAACAACAGAUUCUUGUUUCUCACAGUUGUGGAGGCCGAGGAUAUCAUACCCAGGUGUCAGCAAGGUGGAAAAGAAAGAGAGAGCUGUCUUCCAUCUGCUGGUUCACUCCCCAAAUGGCUGCAACAUCUGAAGCUGGACUGAUCCGAAGCCAGGAUCCAGGAGAUUUUCUGGGUCUCUCACAUGGGUAGCAGGGGCCCAAGCACUUGGGCCCUCUUCCAUUGCUUUCUGAUGCCAUUAGCAGGGAGCUGGAUUGGAAAUGUAGCAGCCAGGACUCCAACUGGUGGCCAACUGGUGCCACAGGCAGAGGCUUAAACUACCACAGCACAGCCCCAGCCUCACUAAACUAAUAACUUGUUAACAGAAUGUGAACUUACCAAAUCAAUGAAAAGGAUAUUUUCUUAGUCAUAACAUAAGCCUAACUCUGUAAUAUAUAUUUCUCAAUAUUCUUUUGUAACUUUUGUUGAUGUGUUGUUGAGUUUUUAAAAACAAAGACAUUACCUUUUGAGAGCAGAUUUAGAUUCACAGAAAAAUUGAGAUGAAGGUACAGAGGCUUCCUAUAUAUUUCUUAUUUCACACAUGCAUAGUUGUGCCCUUAUCAACAUUCUCAUUACAAUGGGUUUGUCACAAUUGAUGAAUUUAUACUUACACAUCACUAUCACCCAAAGUCCCAUAGUUUACAUGGGUUCACCCUUGGUGUUGCAUCUUCUGUGGGUUUGGACAAUGUAUGAUGACAUGUAUCCACCAUGAUGGUUUUAUUCAGGGUAGUUUCACAGCUCCUAAAAUCCCCAAUUUUCUGCCUAUUCAUUCUCCCCUUCCCUCCACCACCGUAAUCACUGAUCUUUUGUAUUGUCUCCAUAGUUCUGCAUUUCUAGCUAUUUUAUUAGAAUAAUAAUUAUGAUUUUAUUCCUUUAGAAUACUGUAUAAAUACUGUAUUUUACAAUGUUUCUAUAUAAGGAUCACAGUUUUUUAAAUCACUGCAUAUAGCCCGUCAUCAUUUCCAAUAACUUCUCCCUUUUUAGUUUGACAAUUUGCUUCUAAUUUUUCAUGAGUUACGUGUAACAUUUCCAUCUUGUCUUUCUGCAAUUGAUUUUUCCCAUCUUCUAUUAAAUAUCCCUCCCCUGCCAGUUAUUGUCUAUUUACUUGGUGUCUGGCUAUUGUGAUUUAUGUAUGUAUGCUAGUGUCAAUUCACCUAUUCACUUUGUGUCUGAGUAAUGAUAAUUGCUUGAUUUUUUUCAGGCUUCCUUCAACAUUCACAUUUAUGGCUUCCAGUAACUUCUGAUCCCAUGCUGCUCCACAAGCAUUUGCUACAGUGUGAAGCACAGCUCUCCACUUUGGCCUGGGAAAGCAGUAGAAGAUGGCCCAAGUCCUUGGGCCCCUGCACCCAUGUUGGAGACCUGGAAGAAGCUCCUGGCUCCUGGCUUUGGAUCCGCUCAGCUCUGGCCAUUGUGGCCAACUGGGGAGUGAACCAAUGGAUGGAAGACCUCUCUCUGCCUCUUCUUUUGUGUGACUCUUUCAAAUAAAUAAUAAAUAAAUCUUUAUAAAAAAAUAUGAGGCUUGAGUUCAGUUGUGAAGCAUGACAAGGAUUUGCAUAUUAUGGAUGUAUACAGAGUGAUGAGGUCAUUAGUGAGUAGGGAAUAUUGAACAAGGGGGAGGGGAGAGGAAGUGUGUCUGGCAUAUUAGGAUGAUAGUAAAAUCCCAGUUCAGUUGAGGAGUAUUAAAAUAAUGCAACAACAGGAGAAUGGGUGGGGAAAGGUAAAAUUAAGGAAAAGGAAUUUCUAUUGAAAAUUUCUGAGUGAA